UGAGGAUUUUGAAUUCAGAGCGGCUAUUCGGUUGCAAUGACCAAGCAUCACCAAGAUAAAACUAAGCAGCAUUAGACACAUUCACGGGGGAACAUUUGGACAGAAGGAGGGGAGAGCGGUUUUGGCUUAUCACAGUUCUAAAUUAGAUCCCAUGGAACUAGGACAAGUAGGCUGCACCAGACAUUUGGCCGCAAUAGCUCGAGCGGUACAGAAGACUGCAUACUUGGUAAUGUGUCAUCCUUUGAAGGUCCACACAGACCACGGUGUUGUAGCGUAUCUAGACACACAAGCUUUCACUCUGACAGCUAUGAGAGGGGCUGGGAUAUCUGGUAUAUUGACCCAGCCCCAUCUCUCUUUCACAUCAGAAGGUGUGAAUAUGACAUCUGGAUUGCCACCUACUGAGGGUGGUCAUGACUGUGCAGAAGUAGCUAGGAAGGAGACGAAGGUGACGAACGCAGAGACAGCCGCCAGCCAAGGGAAGCAGGUUCCAGUCAUACCGCCAGGAAGCCGGGUGUGGAUUAAGGCCCAUAAACGCAAGUGGAGUGAUCCAAGGUGGACCGGUCCUUGGGAGAUAGUAUUGGCAACAUCACACUCGGUAAAGGUGAAAGGUAAAGCGGGAGCCACUUGGCAUCAUCUCACACAUUGUGCACCUGCUAAGGCACCAAGCCAGACCCUUGCGGAGACCCGAUUAAAUACCAGGCAAGUUAAUUCAGAGCCAAAAGACACAGGAGGGGACAAAGGAGCAGAAAAUGUCUCGCCCACAGCGUAAGUAUCAGUUGGUAGUAGGGGGUUCAAGUUCAGCUCGGGGAGGUGCAGCUGUUCACACAGGUGACGAUGACAUGACGUCUGUAAGUGAUCUAUCCCAUCCCAGUCGACAAGAUGUUUCCUUACCACCUAACAUCCAAGCAGCAAUUGCUCUCACGUAGACAUUCAAGGAAAAUAUAACUGCAUCUGUUCAAUUUGAUUAUUGUGAUAUUGCAGCCUGCGGAGUCCAAGACCUCAGGUUUUGGAGGUCGGACCAAUACUUGUGUUCCACCACCAACCGAUGUGGACCAGGAGUCAGGUUUGGUAAGCCAGUGGAGCAGUACGGCUGUGACUGCGAGGAGGCAGAAUGGAAGUUCGCACACACUGGUAGAUGGAAGUCAUCUAAAACUGGUCCUAAACCUGGGCUGCAAACCCGUUUAACGAUGCGGAAAAACCGAUAUCCAGAUUUGGCUAAAUGUGGGGGAGGGUUGUGCAAUCCACUAAUAAUCACAUUGAAAAAUCCAGAAUUGGGGGACAGUGGACUAUACGUGUUGAAAGGAGGGACAUACGAUAUUGAAAGCCCACAAGGGUUGUUUAAGAUUGUUGUUAAACCGUCUGCUAACAAACAGGAAUCCACUGCUGAUCAGGUUGGAGCUGAAGCUGACACUUCUUGGGAGGGUGUGGUAAGACGGGAAACUGGAUUCUCGGAGUCUAAUCUAUGGCUCCAAUGGUGAAGGAGACCACAUUUCAAGACUUGAUUUCACCACAUCCUCACGUCGCCAGGAGAGCGAAGAGAUCCACUAGUCCUGCGGGCUCAUUUGAUAGUCAUGUGUACUUAGAUGCCAUUGGGGUGCCCAGAGGGGUGCCUGAUGAGUUUAAAGCCAGGAAUCAAAUUGCGAGCGGCAUAGAAUCCUUUUUCUUCUGGUGGGUGACAAU